UAAUCGGCCCUUUUCAGGGCCACAAAACAUUUUUUAACGUAAUCAC
rfam:Trichomalopsis sarcophagae strain Alberta scaffold11924, whole genome shotgun sequence.